GUCUCUUUGAGAACAUCCGAUAAAAUUGGAACAAUACAAAGAAGAUUAAUAUACACGCGUAAGGAUGACACGCACAAUUGAGAAAUGGUAAAAAAAAUU